rnacentral:lncRNA from 1 species
UCGCUGGCCGGUACCUCGACGGCGGCGAACACAUCUCCGAAGGUGCGCAGUUCAUGAUUGAUGAUUAUGAGGUUUUUGUUCUUAACCUGUUAUAGAUCCCGGAGAUUGAAGAGGACUGCAUCGAGGUGGUCGAUUUAUCGACCGAGUGGGACAAAGUGAAGACGGAGCCGAGGUUCGGAGGAAGAUUUUGGGUACUCGCCGAGGAGGAGGACGAAGACACAGAUGAGGAGGUUGCGGACGGGUGCUCCGCCCCGGUGCCGUCGGUGCCAUUGGCAUUGAAGCUGGCGGGGUCAGUUCCUCUUUCUCAUGCUCCGGUGAGUAAGCCGGCGUGGUGACGCGGCGCGUCCGGUCGAACGGCGGCCACGGCGAUCCGGCCUUGGAAUGGGCCACUUCCUAAGGUUAGUCUACCGAAACCGAUUCUGUCUGAUUUCUGUACGGAAGAUUCGUGGAAGGUCGGGACGAGGAAGAAGAAGGGUCGGGCGGUGUCGAGGAAGCCGCCGGCGGUGCCGACGGUGGCCGAUCCAUCAAUAUAGAUCUGAGCGGAACGUGAUCGCCGUUUGAAUUCUAUUUUGGCCAUCUUGGGCCUGCGGCUGAGUCGGCCGUCACCGACUGUGGCAUGUCUGGGUAUAUGGCCCAGCAUGAGUGCAGCGUCGAGCGGCGAUUCGGACCGGAUGUCCCUGGGUAUGAGGCCCAGGAAAUGCCAAUCGCAUCUACGGCUUACGUAGCCGCAUGCACUCCACCGGAUCGUCGUUCUCGUUCUUGUUCACCUCUGUUGCCUGCGCCUAGGGUUCGCCGUAGCUGCGCCGUUCCCAGGUUCCCGAGGUGUGGCCCUGGCCGUGCGCUCGUGUGCCUCCUUUCGAGGCUAUGGCGGGGCGUGGAGGGCGUCCUCCUGGAUCGAAGCCCCUGGCGGUGGCCGGGACCGCGUCGGGCGGGCGUGGUGGUGGAGUGCCGCCAGUUCUGAACCCGCCGGUGGCAUUUGGGACCGGGCCGGGCGCUGUGGGUCGUGGUGGUGGCACCCCGGGUCAACGAGCUCCGGCAGCCGCUGGGGCUGGGCUUGCGGCUUCGGGUCGCGGUGGUGGCGCCAUGGGACCUAGGCUGCCAGUUCCUGGGGCGGCUGUUCCGGCUCCCAUGCAUGCCGCGGCGGGGCGUGGCCAGGGUCCUAGGCCGACGCCGCCAGGGACGGCGGUGGUGCCACCUCGUAAGUAGAUGCCGGCGAUUGGGCAGCAGCACCGGGCUGCGCCGCCGCCCCACUUUGUUGCCCGACAGCCACAGCAUCGGCCUGGGCCGGUGCAGACGCGGGAUCCGCCGCCUCAACCUGAGCAUGUGGGCGAUGUAGGCGCUGGACACGCUCGAUUCCCGGUCAACCGUGGUGGUAACGGACCACCUCGGGGACAGUGGGGUGACGAUGGCUAUGACGUCUAUGGUGAGGGCCAACACUGCGGUUCCUCGUCGACCGGAGGCGGGCGUGGGUUUGCAUGGCAGAGUGAUGGCACUGCUGAGAGACCUUUUUAUGGUCCUCCGGGAGGUUUUGUUGAGGGGGCAUCUGGCCUAGACUACCGGCAGAGAGGUGGUUACCGAGGUCAUCGUGGUGGUCGCGGUGGUCGGAAUCGUUACCGCCAACCUCCAAUGCCUGUUGUUGUGGAGCCGACGGCGUCCUCGGAGGUGGGUGCUUCUGGAUUGACGCCGGAGUUGUCCGGCCAGGUUAUGGAAGCGGUGACGGCACUGGCUAACACUGACAUACCUGUGACUGAGCCUGCGCCCACAGGUGCUGUCAGUGCCGCCGACAAGUCUGAUGUGGAUAGAGCUUCCAAGUGGGCUCGUAAAAAGGAGAAGAUGUGCUACCGUUGUGGAGAGAGGGGCCACUUUAUUGCUGAGUGUGAAACUGAGUAAUGUGAUACCUGUCUCAAGCGAGCGCAUGACACGGGGGAGUGUCCGAUUCUGCGUGAUCAUAUGCCGAGUAUUACCAUCUAUGGAGUCUAUUGUGCUGAGCUGAUGUUUUUUGAGUCUCCUAGUGUGAGGGAGCUACCAGAGGAACCCCAAAGCACAACCACGGGGAUUGUCAAAGUCACGAAGGGUGAUGUGUCUGAGGCGCAGAUUAUACACAGGCUCAGUGAGUUGGCUCCAGGCAUUUUCCAGUGGGAGCUUACUCGUCUCGAGGCCAACACGUAUAAGGUCGAUUUCCCUACAACAGAGGACUUGGAGCAUCUUCUAAGCUUUGGGUUGUGCAGAGUUCCUGGUACUGAGUGCAUCCUCGAGUUCCAUGAGUGGAGAGAGUUGAGCUGCAGGGCAAGCCCCUCACUCAGGUCUGAAUGCACUUCUCAGGGGCUCCAUCCAAGCCGCUUCAGGAUGCUAGGGUUGCGGCUAGCUUGGGGAUUCUGGUCGGUAAAACCGAGAAGGUGGACAUGGCCUUCACCCGGCAAACCGGGUGGCCCGACUGCUGGUGAGUGUCCUCGACAUCGAAUUCGUGCCUGACGUGGUUAAGUGGACUUAUCGGGGCCAGGUUUUUAACCUUGAAAUUGAGUUUGAGGAUACAGAUCUUUUUGCUGAGGCCUUGGCAGGGACGGAUGUGGAUAUGCAUGAUAGGAAUGAUGGAUCGGGUAACACGGAAGCGCGAGGGUAUGAUGUUGGGCAUGGGUCGUCCAACGGCCCGAGUUCCACCUCACAGACGCCCGGGACUAGGGCUGCUUCUUCAGCUACAGUGCCAAUGAGCACUCUGAGAUUCAGUUCGUUUGAGCCAGCUUCUGCUCCUCCUAGGCUAUGGAGCGAUCGAGUGGAGUCUGAUAAUGUGUUAGAGUGCACGCUCCCUCCUUUACAUUUUGCAGCGGCUGAUGGCUCUAUUGAUGGGUGCAUGGAGACAUCCGCUACUCUGAUGCUUUCGGUCGAGGGGGGGAGGAUCGUGGGCAGGUGGCCCCUUGCUUCCCCUCUCCUUCUGUUAUCUCGCCAUAGAUGAGGACUACGGCGGAGGUACUGGUGUUGCCGAUCGGCGACGUGACCGUCUUGGGAGGGGGACUCGGGCAGGAGGCCUUGGCUCCCUCCUCUCCUGCGAUGGUCGGGCGAGGGAGACGGCUGGAGGCCUCGGCUCCCCCCUCUCCUGUGGAGGUCGGGCCGGCAGUGCUUGCGAUGGCCGUUGCUCCCGAGGGCCGGCUAUCACCUGCACAGACGCCGGGGCUGCUCCAGAUGACACUAACCAAGGUGGUCGCGUCUCCCACCUGUUUGCAGGCCGGGUCUGGUGGGGAGUGGGGGCAGGCGGCCCCCGCACUCACGCCGCCUCGCUCGCCUUUGGGCGGGCCGACGUCAGUGCUCGCCGCGUCAGGUGGGGAGCGUGGGCAGGUGGCCCAGCGCUCUCCUCCCCCACGCUCGCCGGGGCCGGUGCCUGCGGAUCUUGGCGCCUCUCUGGGUGAUGUAGCCUGGCCGCGCGUUGGGGGUGGGGCUUGUGGCCUUAUCCCUAACAUGGCCACUCGGGAGGAGGUCAUCGCUUUUGGAGGCAUCUCGGAUCCUGUUACUGAGGGGCGGCGGAUGAGCUGCCGUCUCCAGGACCAGCCGGAUGUUGAUGACAUGCAGGUGAGGUGCGCCAAGCGGGCGGCCAAGCUUCAUGACAUUGAGGUCACUACUGGUAUGUCGGUCAACACUUCCAAUUCCAUUUUGCAUUUUUCUAAUGAUGAGAUUAUUCAUAAUGCAAAUCAGUUAGGAGUUUCACUAGGUAGUAAUGAUAGUGAAAUCUCUAAUUCCGUUAAUGAUCUGCUGGAUAUUGAAGCGGAUUGCGCUUCAGAUAUGAUUCGCAACUUAGCAGCUGUUAAACCCAUGAACGACUCCGAGAUUGAUGCGUUGGGAGUCAGAGUUUUAGACACCUUCUGUGCAGAUCUUGCCCCAUCCCUCCCUGAGUCUGAGGAGGAUGACGAUUCUCUACCUCUUGGGCAUAGUGAACCCAUUGAGGAUCUGAGUGUUAGGUCCACGGAACCUGGUUGUGAGGACCGGGUGGAGGAUCAACACAAGCCUAAGCGCAAGUGGAAGCGUAAGAUUUAUCCAGUGUCGGCUGUGCGUAGAAGCGCUAGGAUCCGUACGACUAAAAAAUUUCAUGAUGAGUUAUGAGAGGAAUUUUUUGGAAUAGCAGAGGUCUGAGAGACUUGGCUAAAAGAAGAUUUCUAGCAGAGGCUUCUAUCGAGCAUAGGUUGGAUUUUAUCGCCCUCUCUGAAACAGGAAGGGGUAAUUUUUUUCCCGCAAUUCCUAAAUACGUUAUCGGGAGGUAUUGAUUUUGAUUGGCAUUGCCUCCCCUGAGAGGAAGAUCAGGUGGGAUCUUACUUGGGGUUAGAUGCGAGACGUUAGAAGUCCGAAGUGUGGUUAUGGGAGAUUACGCCGUCAAGUUUCGGGUUAGAUCGAAGGCAGAUGGGUUUAAUUGGGCACUGGUGGCGGUAUAUGGGGCCGCACAGCCAGAGCUCAAACCAGAUUUCUUGGCGGAUCUUGUCCGUAUUUGUGGGUCUGAGCAGCUUCCAAUCUUAGUUGUGGGUGAUUUUAAUAUUAUUAGAAGGAGAGACGAGAAGAAUAAUGACAAUUUUGACGGCCGGUGGUCGUUCAUAUUUAAUACUAUUAUUGAAAGCUUGGAUCUGAGAGAGAUAGAGCUUUCGGGUAGAAAAUUCACUUGGGCUAAUACUUUGCCAACCCCCACGUUUGAGAAGCUCGAUCGUGUCCUCGCGAGUGUAGACUGGGAACAGAAGUUUCCUCUGGUAACAGUCCAGGCAUUAUCGCGCGGAAUCUCGGACCACACCCCUUUACUGCUUGACUCUGGUGAGGCAACGCAUGUGGGGAAUAAAAAUACUUUCUCUUUCGAAUUAGCGUGGUUUGAGAGAGAAGGUUUCUUCGAUCUAAUAGUCAGGGAGUGGGCUAAAGAUGCAGGAGGAAGGACUUCUAUUGAGAGAUGGCAGAAUAAGAUAAGACACUUGGGAGGUUUCUUACGUGGGUGGGCUAAGCAUCUUAGUGGGAUUUAUAAGGUUGAAAAGGAAAGGCUCCUUACUCAAUUCUUUCAUAUGAUUGCUAACGGCAAACAUAGAAAGAAAAGAAUUUUUCAGCUUGAGCAAGACGAGGGGACGAUCUUGGGAUAGGAAAACCUUAAAUUAUACAUUACCAACUACUACAAGCAGCUUUUUGGGCCUCCGGAGGAUAAUUUCGUGUCCUUGGAUGAGUCGAGGAUUGAGGAUGUUCCUCAACUUGCUGCGGAUGAGAACGAUAUUUUAACUGCCCCGUUUUCGGAGAAAGAGGUGUUUGAAGCUAUUUCUCAGAUGAAGAAUAAUAAAGCUCCGAGGCCGGAUGGAUUUCCAGCGGAGUUUUAUAAAAAAUGUUGGCAUAUUAUUAAAGGGGACUUGCUACCGAUGUUCCAUGACUUAUUCUCUGGACAGCUUCAGUUGUUUCAUCUGAAUUUUGGAACUAUUACUUUGCUUCCUAAGAAAACAGAGGUUGUGAGAAUUGAGCAGUUUAGGCCGAUCUGCCUUCUUAACGUAAGUUUCAAAAUUUUCACCAAGGUUGGGACAAAUAGACUCACGCAGAUUGCGCACUCUGUGGUGCAGCCGUCCCAAACUGCUUUCAUGCCGGACAGGAACUAUCCUAGAAGGGGUUGUGGUCCUCCAUGAAACGCUCCAUGACAUUCACACGAAAAAACUAGACGGGGUUGUUUUCAAAGUGGAUUUCAAAAAAGCGUACGACAAAGUCAAAUGGCCAUUUCUUCAACAGGCUUUGCGUAUGAAAGGAUUUGAUCCAGCCUGGAGACAACAGGUAGAAUCUUUCACGCAAAAAGGGAGUGUUGGAAUUAAAGUGAAUGAUGACAUAGGUCACUAUUUCCAAACACACAAGGGCCUGAGACAAGGAGAUCCGAUGUCACCUAUUCUGUUCAACAUUGUAGUCGACAUGUUGACGAUUCUAAUAGGGAGGGCUAAGGAUGCUGGUCAAGUAGGUAGUCCGGUACCUCAUCUAGUUGAUGGAGGUGUUUCUGUCCUAAAGUAGCCGAUGAUACUAUCAUUUUUAUGGAGUAUGACUUGGCAAAAGCGAGAAACUUGAAGCUGGUGUUAUACUUAUUUGAACAAUUGACUGGACUAAAGAUUAAUUUCCACAAGAGCGAAUUGUUUUGUUUUGGAAGAGCCAAUGAGGAACAAGAGGCAUAUAAGCAAUUGUUCGAAUGUGAGUUGGGGGCUUUAGCUUUCACAUAUUUGGGUAUACCAAUUCACCAUCGAAAGCUAACAAACAGAGAAUGGAAGUGCAUUGAGGAUCGUUUUGAGAAGAAACUAGAAUGCUGGAAGGGCAAAUUGAUGUCUUAUGGAGGCCGUUUAAUUCUCCUUAAUUCGGUCCUCACAAGCAUGCCCAUGUUUCUUCUGUCUUUUUUCUGAGGUACCAGUUGGAGUUCGGAAAAGACUUGAUUUCUAUUGGUCCCGUUUCUUCUGGCAAAGUGAUGACCUAAAGAGGAAGUAUAGACUUGCUAAAUGGGACAUUAUUUGUCGACCGAAGGACCAAGGGGGUCUAGGUAUCGAAAAUCUUGAGCUAAAGAACAAAUGUCUCCUCAGCAAAUGCCUGUAUAUGCUAUUUGGUGAGACCAGGGCUACAUGGGCACAGAUUCUGCGUAAUAAGUACCUUCAUUCCAAAACUUUAUCCCAGGUGACAGUGAGGCUGAUGGAUUCGCCUUUCUGGAAAGGGCUGAUGAGAGUUAAAUCAGUCUUUUUUAAUCGGACAAAGUUUGUUAUUGGUAACGGUACUUCUAUGAGAUUCUGGGAGGAUACAUGGCUAGGGGACACGCCCCUCGCACUUCAAUAUCCUUCUCUCUAUAGCAUUGUUCAACAGAGACGCAACUGUUGAGACAGUAUAUCAGUCCACGCCUCUCAAUAUUCACUUUAGGAGAGCGCUAGCCGGAAACCGUUGGGAAGCUUGGCUCCAUCUUGUGAGAAGAUUGAUGAAUGUCCAACUAACUCAACAACCCGAUCAGUUGUGUUGGAAGUUGACUAGGAAUGAAGAUUUCACAGUCAAAUCCAUGUAUUUGGAUGUUAUUAAUUCUAGCUCUAUUCCUACUUCCAAACAUGUUUGGAAUGUCAAAGUACCCUUGAGAGUUAAAGUGUUUAUGUGGUUUGUUCACAAACAAGUCAUUUUAACUAAGGAUAACUUGAUAAAACGCAACUGGAUUGGAUCCUCUAGAUGCAGCUUUUGUGAUCGGGAUGAAUCCAUCAAACACCUCUUUCUUGAUUGUCCUUUGGCAAAAAUGCUUUGGCAGACAGUUCACAUAGCCUUUAAUAUUACUCCUCCGAAUAAUAUCAACACGUUAUUUGGGACGUGGCUAGAUGGGAUUGAGCCCCAAACAGCAAAACACAUUCGUGUAGGAGUAUGUGCUUUAUUAUGGGCUAUCUAGAAUUGCAGAAAUGAUUUGGUCUUUAACAGAACAACAAAUACUCAUUUUUUGCAGGUUAUCUUCCGAGCCACUGCGCUGAUCCGUAUGUGGUCGCUACUCACUCCGACGGAGGCCAGGGAGCGUUUGGUUACUGGAUCUAUCCGAUGGGAGAUGGUAGCACGGGUUAUUUUCAACUGGUUUGGAUGGCGGUCAUGUAAUAGGAUAGGCAAUUAGUUUUCCUAUCUUUAUCUUGCUAGCCGGUUGUGGCUCUAUCUUUUUGUUUUUUAGCUCUUUGUGAGCACAUUUUGUUCUUCUUUGUUUGAGACUUUGAGACCUCUGUCGAACUUUUUGCUUGGUAAUAAAGGUGGCCGUAUGCAUCGCUCUGAUACAGAGGCCGGGGAUAUCCCCUUUUCGAAAAAAAAG